UACGUAGGGUGCGAGCGUUGCCCGGAUUUAUUGGGCGUAAAGGGCGCGUAGGCGGCUCGGCACGUCCGUUGUGAAAUCGCCCGGCUCAACUGGGCGGGGUCAGCGGAUGCGGUCGAGCUUGAGCAAGCUAGGGGGUAAUGGAAUUCCCGGUGUAGUGGUGGAAUGCGUAGAUAUCGGGAGGAACACCAGUGGCGAAGGCGGUUACCUGGAGCUUUGCUGACGCUGAUGCGCGAAAGCGUGGGGAGCGAUCCGG
rnacentral:rRNA from 1 species